rnacentral:lncRNA from 1 species
CCCAUGGGCUCCAUCCUAUGAGACAGGCGGUGUGUUAACUUUUCGAUGCCUCGAAAGACUUGUUUAUUGACCCUGCAAUCACCACAUGACAUUUUCAUAUGAUUUUUGAUUUCACUCGCACGAUAUUGCAAAUCACUUCCUGAUAGGUCACCCAUCCUUCUACUAUUCCAUUUCAAGCAUGCUUAACUCUGGAGUUCUAAACGGAUGUGUGUCCGAAAAAGAAAACGCACUUUGGUGACAUAGAUAACCAAAUUAAUUAUCAAAAGCUUUUUCUAGAUAUACCAGAAAUUGGGAUGUUACAAUUCACCACACUCACAGAGCACAAUGCCCUCAUUGUGCACCACGAUAUGUCUGAAGAUGCCUCUCGGCCGCGAUGACUAACCAGCUCUGAUACUACUUGUAAUACUCUGACCUUCCACGGCUAAUGGGUCUCCCAUACCCGCUCACUCGGCCCGUGGACCCCAUCUUGUGCGCCAGGCGGUGCAUUAACUAUUAGAGGCUUGAAAGACUUGUUUACUG